AUUGAACGCUGGCGGCAGGCUUAACACAUGCAAGUCGAACGAGUGGCGGACGGGUGAGUAAUGCUUGGGAAUCUAGCUUAUGGAGGGGGAUAACUACGGGAAACUGUAGCUAAUACCGCGUACCAUAGGAUGAGCCCAAGUGGGAUUAGGUAGUUGGUGAGGUAAAGGCUCACCAAGCCGACGAUCUCUAGCUGGUCUGAGAGGAUGACCAGCCACACUGGGACUGAGACACGGCCCAGACUCCUACGGGAGGCAGCAGUGGGGAAUAUUGCGCAAUGGGGGCAACCUGACGCAGCCAUGCCGCGUGAAUGAAGAAGGCCUUCGGGUUGUAAAGUUCUUUCGGUAGCGAGGCGUUAACUACAGAAGAAGCACCGGCUAACUCCGUGCCAGCAGCCGCGGUAAUACGGAGGGUGCGAGCGUUAAUCGGAAUAACUGGGCGUAAAGGGCACGCAGGCGGUGACUUAAGUGAGGUGUGAAAGCCCCGGGCUUAACUGGGGAAUUGCAUUUCAUACUGGGUCGCUAGAGUACUUUAGGGAGGGGUAGAAUUCCACGUGUAGCGGUGAAAUGCGUAGAGAUGUGGAGGAAUACCAAAGGCAAAGGCAGCCCCUUGGGAAUGUACUGACGCUCAUGUGCGAAAGCGUGGGGAGCAAACAGGAUUAGAUACCC
rnacentral:rRNA from 1 species